rnacentral:rRNA from 1 species
CAGGCUGGCGGCGUGCUUAACACAUGCAAGUCGAACGGUGAACCGCUUUCGGGCAGGGAUCAGUGGCGAUUGGUGAGUAACACGUGGGUAACCUGCCCUCCACUUUGGGCUAACUCCGGGAAACCGGGGCUAAUACCGGAUACGACCUUUGGCGGCAUCGCCUCGGGUGGAAAGUUAGUCGAAGGAGGAUGGACCCGCGGCCUAUGAGCUUGUUGGUGGGGUAACGGCCUACCAAGGCUUUGACGGGUAGCCGGCCUGAGAGGGCGACCGGCCACACUGGGACUGAGACACGGCCCAGACUCCUACGGGAGGCAGCAGUGAAGAAUAUUGCACAAUGGGCGAAACACAGACCCAGCGACGCCGCGUGAGGGAUGACGGCCUUCGCGUUGUAAGACCCUUUCAGCAGGGACGAUGCGCAAGUGACUGUACCUGCAGAAGAAGCACCGGCUAACUACGUGCCAGCAGCCGCGGUAAUACGCUGGGUGCGAGCGUUGUCCGGAAUUAUUGGGAAGAGCUUGUAGGUGGCUCGUUGCGUCGGGAGUGAAAACCGCAACCUUAACCGCGGGCCUGCUUCCGAUACGGGCGGGCUAGAGUUCGGCAGGGGAGACUGGAAUUCCUGGUGUAGCGGUGGAAUGCGCAGAUAUCAGGAGGAACACCGGUGGCGAAGGCGGGUCUCUAGGCCGAUACUGACACUGAGAAGCGAAAGCGUGGGGGCAGAACAGGAUUAGAUACCCUGGUAGUCCACGCCGUAAACGUUGGGAACUAGGUGUGGGGUCCAUUCCACGGGCUCUGUGCCGCAGCUAACGCAUUAAGUUCCCCGCCUGGGGAGUACGGCCGCAAGGCGCUGACC